rnacentral:misc_RNA from 1 species
GAUGAAGAACGCAGCGAAAUGCGAUAAGUAAUGUGAAUUGCAGAAUUCAGUGAAUCAUCGAAUCUUUGAACGCACAUUGCGCCCCUUGGUAUUCCGAGGGGCAUGCCUGUUCGAGCGUCAUUACACCACUCAAGCUAUGCUUGGUAUUGGGCGUCGUCCUUAGUUGGGCGCGCCUUAAAGACCUCGGCGAGGCCACUCCGGCUUUAGGCGUAGUAGAAUUUAUUCGAACGUCUGUCAAAGGAGAGGAACUCUGCCGACUGAAACCUUUAUUUUUCUAGGUUGACCUCGGAUCAGGUAGGGAUACCCGCUGAACUUAAGCAUAUCAAUAAGCGGACGA